rfam:Marinobacter sp. HL-58 ITZY_scaf_776, whole genome shotgun sequence.
ACCACCUGAUCCCAUCCCGAACUCAGCAGUGAAACAGACCAGCGCCGAUGGUAGUGUGGCUUCUGCCCAUGUGAGAGUAGGUCAUCGUCAGGC